UACGAAGGGGGCUAGCGUUGCUCGGAUUGACUGGGCGUAAAGGGCGCGUAGGCGGUUCGUACAGUCAGACGUGAAAUUCCUGGGCUCAACCUGGGGGCUGCGUUUGAUACGUGCGGACUUGAGUGCGGAAGAGGGUCGUGGAAUUCCCAGUGUAGAGGUGAAAUUCGUAGAUAUCGGGAGGAACACCGGUGGCGAAGGCGGCGACCUGGGACAAUACUGACGCUGAGGUGCGAAAGCGUGGGGAGCAAACAGG
rnacentral:rRNA from 1 species